CAGCCGCCGCGGUAAUACGUAGGUGGCAAGCGUUGUCCGGAAUUAUUGGGCGUAGAGCGCACGUAGGCGGAUCCUUAAGUCAGAGGUGAAAUCCCAAGGCUCAACCUUGGAACUGCCUUUGAUACUGGGGAUCUCGGGUUCGGGAGAGGUGAGAGGAACUGCGAGUGUAGAGGUGAAAUUCGUAGAUAUUGGGAAGAACACCGGUGGCGAAGGCGGCAACCUGGUCCAUUACUGACGCUGAGGCGCGACAGCGUGGGGAGCAAACAGGAUUAGAUACCCCCGUAGUCCCUGUCUCUUAUAC
rnacentral:rRNA from 1 species